UACCGACACCACGAGUGGUAUCCGCGCAUAUUGGGUCUAAAGCGCUCGUAGUCGGCCGAAUAAGCCAUUGGUGAAAUCCUUGAGCUCAACUUGAGGGCGUGCCAGUAGAACUAUUCGGCUUGGGAGUGGGGGAGGUUAGAAGUACGCUUGGGGUAGGGGUUAAAUCCGUUAAUCCUAGGCGGACUAGCAGUGGCGAAGGCGUCUAACCAAAACACGUCCGACGAUGAGGUGCGAAGGCCAGGGGAGCAAA
rnacentral:rRNA from 1 species